GGUUUCAGUGCGCGCACGGGAGCUCGCUGCCCGCCGGCUAACUCCACGCCAGCGGGGAAGGAGAAGCCGGGGCCCAGGCCGGCAUCUCAGCUCCGCGCGGGUGCAGAGGAGCGCAGCGGGAGGCGUCCAGAAACCCCCCCCCCCCCCGGUUCUGCGCGUUCCAGCAGCCAGUCCCCAUCCCGCGCGACUUGCGGCCUCCCCGCGGCGCUUUCCGAGCUCCAGAGCUGCUCUUGAGAGCAGGCCUCGACAGUCCCGGCCUCGACACCGGGGAGGGGGACGGGUGGUGCGUGGCUCCCUUCAGGGUGGGCCUGAACUCUUCCCUGGGGCGGAGGUGGGGUCUUAAGGAGCCUGGGGUUAUAGUCAGGGAUGUUUCCAAAUUUAGUUUCCUGGUCUUGAAUAUCUGGGAAGGUCACAAGCAAGAUUUAUCUGGAAUUUAGCUACUCCAGGGGUUGAAAAAGUUUGUUGGAACCGAAAGAGAAUAAUCUAGUCCAAGCCUUUCUAGAGCGAAUCUUCCACAAACUGCCUAAGAACCGGGACAAUUUCUUGACUUGUGCCAGGCCCACCCAAAACGUCAUGGAAAGCAGGCAACAGAUGCGGUUUCCCUACAUUAGGCAAAAGGGAGGCGUGUCCUGCAGUGAUGAAGGCGUCCACCUUCGGUGUUAAUUCUUACAUUUCUAAGCUUCUGUGACAGUGGGAUGUACAAGAAAUUUCCAAACCCAGCCCCUUAUGCCGUUGGGCUCAGGCUGUUUUCCUUCAGAAUGCUCAAGUGGCCCAAGGGCUGAGUUCAGAAAACCCAUUGUCCUCGGGGAACUGCUGGAGAAUUUCUGCCUUGGACCUUCGGUGAGGGAGUGGAUGGAUGGUGGAUAAAGUGGGGCCUUCCCCGGAUGUCUCUGGACCGACCCUCUGUCAGAAACACUCCCUUGAGGGAGAGGCUAAGGAUAAUGCCAGCAGCAAGGGUGUUGGAGUAUGUUGGGCAGUGAACAUGUGACACUCCUCUCUUUUUCUAUUAAAAAAAAUCCAAGGUUGUGAAUUUCCUGACCCUGUUGCUUGUCCAAGGCAAAGAGAGAAAACCAGUCAAGGUAAAGGGGAGCGUGUGGGAGGAGAAGGGAGAGAGCCGCUCACAGGUGCGGAACUUGGAACCCAUCUCUCCAGCCGCUCUUCGUGAAGGCACAAGCGCCCCACGGACCAGCACCGCGUCAGGCUUUGGAGAGCCUCUCGGGCAGCGCCUUCUGGAAAGGGGACAGAGGCCUUCCCUCCGGCAGCGAGCUCCUUUCCAGCCCUCGGAGCGUGGCGACCGGACUGGGAGCGCAGGGCAGCGCGUGCGUGCGCCUCCCGGCCCUGGCUGCCAGCGCUCGCUCGCUCGCUCGCUCCGAGAAUCUCUGGGAGCUUCGAGUAGGGGCUCACCCUGUGAGCAGUACUCACACAUAUAAUUCAAAUUUCACAGCUGACCUGCUCUGAAAACCUCAAUCAGCUUCUAAUUGAAGGGAAAACAAAAUAUUGCUUCCCUACAGCAGAGCUAACGAUUUAAUCAUUAUAUCAGACAUUAUAGCUUUUAAUUAGGCUAAUGCUGAUACUGUAUGGAAAGAGAUAAUUCAACACAGUUCUUGAUGAAUUCUGUAAUUGGGUUAACGGCGGAGCAGUCGGGGGAGAGACGUCAAUAUUCAAGCUGCGUCUCUAGCCACCAGGUUUAUGAAUGAAAGAGAAGACAAGGGAGGAACGGCUGGAACCCGAGGGCUGCGGGCGCUGCGGGGAGGCUGGGCGGCCCGGCGGCCGCGGGUGCCAGGGCCCUGGGUCUCACCGCCUAGCGCGGGCUCCCCUUGCCUCCGCCUGCUGGGCCUUCUGCCGGGGGAAACUUUCGGCGAAGAAUCUCUUCAGAUCCUUUUGCCCGGGACAGCUCGGCCCGGGUCUCUGCACUGUCCCUAGCCCAGCCCUCACCACUCUGGGCGGAGCGCCGGGCCACAGGAGGCUCACCCUGCCAACCGCGGCCUCUGAGGACCCCGGGCCAGCUCAGCUCCCAGCCUCCCCCUUGAUGCUGGGCGGGCCAUGUGGUGCCCGCCGGUAGCGCCCCUCCGGGCACCAGGCGUGCGUGAGCGUCGAAGCCUGCCUACACCCUGUGCCCGGUGGAGGCUGAGUGGGGGCUGCCCCCAGCCUUCGCUGAGUCCCCCUUGGCCAGGGCUGCAGACAAGAUUCGAAAUUAGAUGUAAAGGCCCUGCGAAAGAGGUGGGAUGGAGGCGUUCAGAUGUCUUUGGACUCGGGAUGCGAUCGGCACAGUGGCGGGUGAUCCGCCUCUCACUCCCCAGCCGCCUUCUGUCAAGGCCUGGCCUGGGGCAGUUCGGGCCACAGGGGCAUCGCCUGCCAGCACAGCCCUCAGCCUCUCCCUCUCGUGCCCAGGGCAGCUGCAGGGCGGGAAGCACCCUCCUGCUCUUCCCCUCCGGAUUUAGCACCCACAAAAGUUGUGCCAAACUCGGUGAAUCCAAACCCAACCCUACCAGAGGAGCAGGCUCGUGAGCCUUGGAUUUUGAGGAGAAAAUGCUGAUGCCUCUAAAAUUUGGCCAGGCUCUUUAGAACAGACAGCCACCUAAGCUGAACCUUCGGUAGAUUUAACCCUGAAGAUUGCAGCCUGUAAUUUUAUGUACUUUUUAUAUUUCUGCCACUCUUAACAAUUUCCCUUAUUCUUUAACUACAUCAGUUCAGUAUUAUCCUUCAAGUUAAGUAUAUUGGAUUGCGAUUCAUGCCUAUGUUAUUUUGUUAGUAAUUACUGCAAAAUUAAGUGGGUCACUGCUAGCUUCAUUUACACAAACCCCCACAAUUAACUGUUUGAAUAUACCUUUCCACACUGAGCAAAAGUUGUGAUUUCCUAAUGUGUGUGGUUUCUUUCCUAUCAAGAAGGUAAGCUCACGUGGUCUAGGAAGGGACACAAAGCCCUCCCAAGCAAAGGGAGGGGCGUUGUUGUGCUUCUCCCCAAGACUGCACCAGGAGUGAGCGCGGCACCCAGCUUCCCUGAACAACUACUGGAAUUAAAAUUUACAGAUCCUAAACAGUCCACAAUAGAGGGUAUCUGAUGGAGCAAACUGUUAAAACCAGAAUCCUUGGGAGGCAGACAAGCCUGGGUCCUGGAGGGCAGAGGCGCAGGUGGGGCUUGGCUCUGGGGGUGGAGGCUUCCUCUGGUGAGAGCAGAAGCAGUAUUUCUGGCCCCCCGGCACCCAUGGGAGCCCCAUCCAGCCGGGACCAAGGCCUUGCGCAAGAAGAACAGGUGAGAGCCCACACAGCCUCUCUCCUCUUCUCUCAUUACCCCAAAUAGAAAAGGUAUCACUCACAAGGAGACAAGUCAUAAGGAAUUUCUGUAUGAAAAGAGAUGAAGUGAAAUCAGAGGUGCUUUUUCUUACAGGCCAUCCCUGUUACUGCAAAUUAGAUUAGCUACACAGGCUUCAAUAUAAACAUGACACGCAGUUCACAGAGUGAGAGCCCAUCCCCUCCAAUCUCGCCUUUCAUCGGAGCAGCGCACGUAAACCCCAUCUUGUCCUUUAAUACACUGUUCAGUGAGAUUAAAACAUCACUCUGACACAAUUUCAAGCCUUUCCAGUCAUGUGGGCUGCUUACUUCAGAGAGCAGCCGCCGCCGGGAAAGGCCCCCCACCCGGAGCUCUGCAGGCAGCAGGGUGGGAGAGCCGGGCCCCCUUGGCCCAGGUGAAGGCCACUCACCCACCGCAGGGACAGGAGCCCAAGGGGCGGGGGCAGAGAAGGCCCUUGGGGAUGCUCAAGCUUCUGGGAAGGUUUGGCCCAGGGAAAAACAGUGACAUCUAUUUGGCCUUUGAACUCAGGCGGUGAGGAAGGAGAUGGGUUUCCCACAAAACUGCCUGAAGAGGGACCUGUACCUGUUUUUACCCACGGGAAGGCCCCUCUGCCGGUACAGUACCACCUUUCCCUUCAAGGACCAGUCCCUCCCCCAGCUGCCAGUGUCCCUGGGGCGUGGCAGGGCCCCAGACAGACAAAGGAGGCCAGCAAGGGCAGUGGAGGGGGUCUUUGGACUAGGGAGUCUGCAAAUUUCCGUUAUACAUUUUCUGCCUGAAGUGUGCACAGAAGCAGGGCCUCCUGCUCUGGGUCGGGUUGGGCUAGCCGCAGCCUGCCCACGCCAUCACACAGUGAAUAGAAAGGAGCCGUUGGUUCGUGAGCAGCUGGGACGCGCGGAGGGAGGUGGAGCCGCAGGCGCCCUCUCGCGUGCGCGCCCUCCGCCCCGCGCCCCGCGCCACCGGGAGCCCCGGCCCGACCCGGCCGAGGUUCGGCCCCAAGGCGGCGACACAGCACUCCGCCCGCGGCGCGCUCUCGGCGCGGGGCCGACUCCAGCUUUGUCUCGCGAGGGGACCCCUCGGCCGUGGGCCGCGCCGGGCCUCCCGGCGGCGCCGGCUGCUUCUCUUCGCGCCGCGACAGGCCCCCCCCCCACCGGACCAGACCAGACCAGACCAGACCAGAGGCGGCGUCUGGACGAGAGCGGCGGGCGGACGGAGCUUGCAGUGCUCGCAGCUGCUGUUUCCAGGAUGUCCUUCUCUGUCAGGCUGCAAUCUCCAGGACAAAAAGCCCACAGGACUUUUGCUCAGUGGAGCUCAGUCUGCAGAAACACUCUGUCAUUUGCAGCUGUUUCCUUGCCGCCGGGUUAGCUCUGGAGUCCCCAAAGAGUCAGAUGGGAUGAGAAGACUCGCUGUUCCCCAGGCACCUGGGAACUGCUGCCAGGGGACAAUAAAGCAGGUCUGUGAUGUGGUAAAAGUGAAGAUUCCUUGGAGAAAACAUCAUUUAUUUUUCUGGCUGUGAAUUUACAAGAUGCUAAAGCCUCUAACAAUUUAGUCUGAAUUUCAGUGACUUGUUGCUCACUGAGCUCAGUGUAGGCAAAUGUCUGACUAUGACAGUGGACAGGUGGACCUUGCUUUUCCAGGCUCAGAAAUAAAGUAGCAGUACUCAGAGGAGUCCGGAUCCUUUUUCUGGGUCGAAUGAUACGACUCUAGGUUGAAUACUAGAAUCUUUUGCCAUGGUUUAAACCUCCAGGGCUCAGUUGCUUGAUCUGUGCAAUGGGAGCGGAAAUGCACCAGCCUCACAGGCACACGAGUGUGCAGGGAGGAGCCUGGGGUUCCACACAGGUCGGAUGCAGUGGGACCACCUCAGGGUGGAUUUACCCCCACGUCCAGGGCACAAGGAGGUGGAGAGGGCAGGCGCCCUGCUGACAGGGGCUUCCUGCUCUGUGAAUUCCGCAGCUCUGGCUGAGCACUGGUAUUAGGAACUCAAAGAGUGAUUCCAUAAAGAAAAAAAGUGUAGUUUAUACCAAAAUGGAAUAAACCCCCAUUUGAGUAACAACAAUCUGCAUAAAUGCUUUAAGAAAGCCUAUAAUUAUGAUAAAAAUGUUGCUCAAAGUUAAAAUUAUGAAGCAAUCAAGAUUUAUAAACAGUCUCUCAUCGACUUUUAAUCAUUCUUUUUUAUAUACAAACUGUACACAAUAUAUGGUUGCAUUACAUCAUACUAUACAUUUUAUUUUCAGUAAUUUAGAUGAGUAAAAUAUAUGUGAGGUGACACUGAGAGACUAGGUUAUCUAUCACACGAUGAUGGGCAUGUAGCUGCUCACAGCGGGCACACACGCACACUGAGACAGUUUGUGUCACUUUGGCUUCUUACACAGAAAUGAUGCUGGCUUUUCUUGUAUCAGAAUUCUUUAAAAUUCUAAUUACCAUAGCUCCUUUUGCAAUAGUUUGAAAAAGUACUACAUGCAUCUGAAUAUUAACUGUCUUUUGCCAGAAUAAAAUAUCUUAGUCACCGGAUAACUGAGGCCAAAAUUGACCAGUACAAUCAAUAUUUAUUUAUAUUAGGCAAAAAUUGCCUAUUUUGAGUAGCUGGAAAUAAGCCACUGGUGACCACAUGAAGGGCUGACCUAAAACCUGAGUUUGUGCACAGUUUCUUUAUGCCGUGCUGGGGAUCAGACUCAGGGCUGCAUGAGUGCUGGGCAGGGCUUGACCACUGAGCCACACGGGUAGUCCAACCCACAUUUCUUAAUCAGCAUGAAGAUUCUGGAAAUAUUUUUAGUAAUAAUAUAAAAGUAGUACCUUGCAACUAAAAAUACUUUCCUGGGGCCCAUCCUUUUCCCCCUGACGACUCCUUAACACUGAUGUUGCUUUAGUGUCAGUACCCUCUGGAGCUUAGUCCACCCUGAUUCUAGUUUCUCCAUGGGGUUGGUCCCAGCCACGUAAAAUAAGAACGCUAGCUGCUCAUGCUCCCUGGAGGCUGCCUCUGGCCUGGACCCUUCCCUGCCCACUCCAGGCUCCUGUCGGGCUCUUCUCUUCAGGUUGCCGGGGUCUUUCCACUCCUGCCGCUGCCCACCUGCAUUCUGUCUGCUGCUGUCUCCAGUCUCCAGGUAGCCAGUGCUGAAUGGAUGAAGCUCACAGAGCCCGGAGUCACCACAGCACACUGAAAAGCCCAGAGUCAAGUUGAAGGGAAGUCACUAGCCGUAUUGAGAGACACGGAGAAGAGACCCACAGGCAAGAGAAAGAGCUGUCCACGGAAGCCCACCAGGAGAUGGCCCGAUGUUCACUGGGGCAACAAUUUUAAAGCAUCUUUUAUGACAUGUUCAAAAAAUUGGAGGAAACCCUAGUCUUAAUGAGUGAACAGACUGGGAAUCUGAGCAAAGAAAUGGAAAUGAAAUGGAACUUUCGGAAGUCCUGGUGCAGCUGCAGUGAGAAGCCACUAAACAGGCUCCACAGCAGGCAGCCAAAGCAAGGGGGGGUGACUUGAGAACCUCAAAAGAAAUCCAACCUGAAGAAGACAAAUGGGUAGAGCUGCAGGCACCUGUGAGUAAUAUUCGAUGCCCAAGUACAUGUGUAAUAGGUGGCCUGUAAGGAGAAUCAAGUGAUAUUGGGACAUAAGUUUGUUCUUUUUUUAGAAAAUAAUAGCCAGAUACUUGACUAAUUUGAUGAAAAACAACUUACAGAUCCAAAAAUCUAAUCGAAGUCUAAGCAAGGGCAUAUAAAAUAUAAAGAUGGUAAUAUCUAGGUAGUUGUGUAAAAUUCCGUAAAACAAAGAUAAAGGGGAAAUCUUGAAAUUAGCCAGAGGGGAAAAUACAUGUACAAAGGUAUUAGUUAGACCCUCAUGAAAUAAAGGGGGCCUGAAAAUGAGGGGGCCCGCUGUGGCGGAAGGAAACAAAGUGGCCUUCAGGGAGGCUGAAGAAGACAGGUCAGGUCCAGGUGCUGGCAAGCAGCGCUCUCAGCCCACAACCUCGCGCCGCUCCAGAAAGGCUGAAGGCUGCCUGCUACCAGGCAGGGACUCCACGAGGAACCGGCAUUCACAGAGGAGAGGUGGAGCAGCAGCCAGGAGUAAGCCUGAGUGCUCUUUCUGCCCAGAGUCUGCCUGAGAGAUAGCUACUGGUUUAAAAAGAAAAUCUUUAUCAUUAAAUUAGUGUGGGGGUGCUAAUGGAAACCGUGGAGGUCCUUGGCCUCACUAAUCCUAACAAGAGCAGAGUUUAUUUAAAAACACAGCAAAAAUUUUAAAAAAAGCAAAAAAGGAACAGAGAACAGAAUCACAGAACACUGGGAAUGAUAGUUUCACCCUAGGUGAACAGAAGCAUUAGAAGCCAGCACAUUUUCAUAAUCUUUUGCCAACACUGAGUUUUCACUCAGUCUUACCAAAUUUCCCUAUUACAAAAUGCCUAUCACCUUCCUUGUCAGAGCCCAGUUAUGUCGAAGAAUUACUGUGUUUCUUAGAAGUGCAAGGCGCGGCCCCUCCCUGUGCUCUUGGCCUGUGUCUUCUUGCCCCCAGUGCUCCCAGAGUCCUCUGCAGCAUGAAGCCAGGGAGGGAGGGGUCAGGGAGGACCCCACCCAUUUUAACAAGCGGAGAUGGGCUUGCAACAUAAAUCAAGUAUUAUCUCAUAUAUGCUGUCUAACAGUGUUUAAAAUAAUCUCUCUUCAUAUGAAUUCAUGGGAAGACAUAGAGCUGUAUAGGUACCUGUCUUCUUCAGAUCUUUACAUAUGAUAAAUGAAGAUUCAUCCCUUCUGAGUCAAAAAAGGCAACAACCAAACACCCGCUACGAGACUUUGGUGUCUCCUUCUGUCUUCCCCACCUCUCCUCUUCCUCCCACCCUCCUUCCCUCCCUCUCUCUUCUCUCCUCCCCACCUCACUGGAUACCAAACAUCCAACAUUGAACAUCAUUUCCAUCAUGGCAGUGGAUAAUUUGCUCUUUUGGUUAUGAGUCCUCCACUUUAAGUGAAUUGCAGGCUGGAAUAGAAGCAAGCGUGCUGUGUCACUGCAUUUAGUACUUG
ensembl:lncRNA